CAAUAGCGUAUAUUAAAGUUGUUGCGGUUAAAAAGCUCGUAGUUGGAUUUCUGCUGAGGAUGACCGGUCCGCCCUCCGGGUGAGUAUCUGGCUCAGCCUUGGCAUCUUCCUGAAGAACGUAACUGCACUUGACUGUGUGGUGCGGUAUUUAGGACAUUUACUUUGAGGAAAUUAGAGUGUUUCAAGCAAGCGCACGCCUUGAAUACAUUAGCAUGGAAUAACACGAUAGGACUCUGGCCUAUCUUGUUGGUCUGUAGGACCGGAGUAAUGAUUAAGAGGGACAGUCGGGGGCAUUCGUAUUUCAUUGUCAGAGGUGAAAUUCUUGGAUUUAUGAAAGACGAACUACUGCGAAAGCAUUUGCCAAGGAUGUUUUCAUUAA
rnacentral:rRNA from 1 species